rnacentral:rRNA from 1 species
UACGGAGGGUGCAAGCGUUAAUCGGAAUGACUGGGCGUAAAGGGUGCGUAGGCGGUUUAGUAAGUUGAGUGUGAAAUCCCCGGGCUUAACCUGGGAACUGCAUUUGUGACUGCAUGGCUGGAGUGCGGCAGAGGGGGAUGGAAUUCCGCGUGUAGCAGUGAAAUGCGUAGAUAUGCGGAGGAACACCGAUGGCGAAGGCAAUCCCCUGGGCCUGCACUGACGCUCAUGCACGAAAGCGUGGGGAGCAAACAGG